AACGAACGCUGGCGGCAGGCUUAACACAUGCAAGUCGAACGCAUCCUUCGGGGUGAGUGGCAGACGGGUGAGUAACGCGUGGGAACGUGCCCUUCAGUUCGGGAUAACCCAGGGAAACUUGGGCUAAUACCGGAUACGUGCGAGAGCAGAAAGAUUUAUCGCUGAAGGAUCGGCCCGCGUCUGAUUAGCUAGUUGGUGGGGUAAUGGCCCACCAAGGCGACGAUCAGUAGCUGGUCUGAGAGGAUGAUCAGCCACAUUGGGACUGAGACACGGCCCCACCUCCUACGGGAGGCAGCAGUGGGGAAUAUUGGACAAUGGGCGCAAGCCUGAUCCAGCCAUGCCGCGUGAGUGAUGAAGGCCUUAGGGUUGUAAAGCUCUUUCGUCCGGGACGAUAAUGACGGUACCGGAAGAAGAAGCCCCGGCUAACUUCGUGCCAGCAGCCGCGGUAA
rnacentral:rRNA from 1 species